GGGCCCGUAGCUCAGUCCGGUCCAGAGCGCCGGUCUUAUAAGCCGGCGGUCGGGAGUUCAAAUCUCCCCGGGCCCACCA
rnacentral:tRNA from 1 species